rnacentral:tRNA from 2 species
GGCCCCGUAGCUCAGCUGGAUAGAGCAACUGACUUCUAAUCAGUAGGUCGUACGUUCGAAUCGUACCGGGGUCACCA